rnacentral:rRNA from 1 species
AUGCAGGUAUUUAUUGCGGAUGAUGGUGAGCCAGAGGCCUCCCUCCCCGUUAGCAAUACGCCACAACCAGCGAGUCAGGAGGGCAAUGUUCAUGCGUCGGGAGGAGAGGAUCCCAAGACCCCCCUAGUCCUUGGGCUUACAGAUGUCGGCCCAGCUCACCAUGUGGUACUUCUGUUUGUCGUCCUCGCCAGCCCAGAAGAACCUCGACUGGUAUUUGUCCACCUCCUGGUGGAGGGUCUCGUGAAGGCAAUAGAAGCUCAAGAGAAACCAGAGGAGGCUCGACAGCGAAGAAUUGAUAAGGAUCACUCUAGCGGCCUUCGACAGCCAGCAGCCCCUCCAGGGUUCCACCCUGCGCUGCAUCCUAGUCACCGCCGGACGAAGCUCCGCUACAGAGAGCCGGGAGUCACUAAUGGGCACCCCCAAGUAAGUGGUGGGGAAGGUGCCCAGGCGGCAGUUAAGCCGGUCCGCAAUGGACAGGGCUUCGUCCGGGGUGUAGCCAAGGACCGGACAUCCGCCGGACAAGCUGAUAUCCGAGGACGAAGCUGA